rnacentral:rRNA from 1 species
GAUGAACGCUGGCGGCGUGCCUAAUACAUGCAAGUCGAGCGAACAGAUAAGGAGCUUGCUCCUUUGACGUUAGCGGCGGACGGGUGAGUAACACGUGGGUAACCUACCUAUAAGACUGGAAUAACUCCGGGAAACCGGGGCUAAUGCAGGAUAACAUGUUGAACCGCAUGGUUCUACAGUGAAAGGCGGCUUUGCUGUCACUUAUAGAUGGACCCGCGCCGUAUUAGCUAGUUGGUGAGGUAACGGCUCACCAAGGCAACGAUACGUAGCCGACCUGAGAGGGUGAUCGGCCACACUGGAACUGAGACAAGGUCCAGACUCCUACGGGAGGCAGCAGUAGGGAAUCUUCCGCAAUGGGCGAAAGCCUGACGGAGCAACGCCGCGUGAGUGAUGAAGGUCUUCGGAUCGUAAAACUCUGUUAUUAGGGAAGAACAAAUGCGUAAGUAACUGUGCGCGUCUUGACGGUACCUAAUCAGAAAGCCACGGCUAACUACGUG